GCACCUUCGGCUCCCUGGGGGGCACACUGCCGCUGGUGAGGAAGGACGACUCCUUCGGCUCCCUGGAACUCACACCGCUGCUGGGGAGGAAGGACGACACCUUCAGCUCCCUGGAACUCACACUGCCGUUGGGGAGGAAGGACGACACCUUCAGCUCCCUGGAACUCACACUGCCGCUGGGGAGGAAGGACAACACCUUCGGCUCCCUGGAACUCAC